UGAUUGCUGGUAACUAAUCAGUGGUGAUUGUGUGCUACAAUUUGCUUAAAAGAUCCAGGGUGAAUAUCAUAGCAUAUGAAAUAGAUGAAGUUUUCUCUCUUAGGAUCAUGCUACAGGCUUCAAUCUUAUCAAACACUCCUUAUCAGAUCCCUGGAAUCAACCUUUCUCAAUCAGCAGCGAAUGACUAUGUUUUCUGGCACCUUUUGCGUGAUUAAUAACUGUUAGUUGAAAGCCAGAUCCCACAUUCCUCAAUACAAGGAUAUGACUGAGACGAUGAAGCAGCAACUUUUCAAAUGAAGUUACUCUUCUGUUCUCUGCACUCUGCUGAGAUUUCUCAGUGUUCCACAAAUCUGUGUAUCGUAAUACUCUACCUGGAUAGUGUGUUUAUGUAAGGUAGCUGGGAUGGCGAUCUUGGGAGGCAAUGAAUUGUUCUGAAAUUAAACUUGCCAAUCUCUUUGAAAUACAGUUCAUGGUAUAUUUAAGAAAAACGCAUUUGAAAUGUCACUGCACUACAUACUCACUAUGCCAAAUUCUAGCUAGGUAUUGAUUUUUGCAGCCAAGUCACAAACCUUUUGAAAGUAAAGCUUGCAUUUAAAAUGCCAACGUUUAAUUAUUUUAAAAAAACGAUCAGAUGUCUGAAUAAUAAAGAAGAUAUAUAUCUUUGUAAAUCAUUCUUGUG